rnacentral:rRNA from 1 species
UACGUAGGGUGCGAGCGUUGUCCGGAAUUAUUGGGCGUAAAGAGCUCGUAGGCGGUGUGUCGCGUCGGCCGUGAAAACCUGGGGCUCAACUCUGGGCGUGCGGUCGAUACGGGCAUCACUUGAGUUCGGCAGGGGAGACUGGAAUUCCCGGUGUAGCAGUGAAAUGCGUAGAUAUCGGGAGGAAUACCGAUGGCGAAGGCAGGUCUCUGGGCUGACACUGACGCUCAUGCACGAAAGCGUGGGGAGCAAACAGG